CCUCUCGGGGAAGAAAAAGGGAAUGCGGUGCGGGCGACUUUCGCCCAAUGCCGCGGCUGCCCCCGCAACUGUAGGCGGAGAGUGUUCCUCGACGCGCCACUGGGAUUCUCCGGGAAGGCAAGAGGAAACACGCUGAUCCGUGAGCCAGGAGACCUGCCGGCAUCGGA
rnacentral:ncRNA from 1 species